rnacentral:pre_miRNA from 1 species
UUAAAAUGCAGUUAUGAAUUUUUUAUGUUCAAUGUUUGAUCGUUCAUAUUAUUUGAAACUCUUCUCUAAUUAUUAUUUUUUAUUAUUGUUAUAUGAUAAAACAAAAUUAAUACUUUAUACAUAACUUAUUUUUUAAAAAAAUUUAUAUAAGUUUUUUAAACAAGACAAGCAGUGAAACGUUAGACACAGAAAACUGUAACUACACCUGAA